rnacentral:rRNA from 1 species
UACCAGACUCCUACGGGAGGCAGCAGUGAGGAAUAUUGGUCAAUGGCCGAGAGGCUGAACCAGCCAAGUCGCGUGAGGGAAGAAUGUCCUAUGGAUUGUAAACCUCUUUUGUCAGGGAGCAAAGUCACCCACGUGUGGGUGUUGGAGAGUACCUGAAGAAAAAGCAUCGGCUAACUCCGUGCCAGCAGCCGCGGUAAUACGGAGGAUGCGAGCGUUAUCCGGAUUUAUUGGGUUUAAAGGGUGCGUAGGCGGGCUUUUAAGUCAGCGGUAAAAAUUCGGGGCUCAACCCCGUCCGGCCGUUGAAACUGGGGGCCUUGAGUGGGCGAGAAGAAGGCGGAAUGCGUGGUGUAGCGGUGAAAUGCAUAGAUAUCACGCAGAACCCCGAUUGCGAAGGCAGCCUACUAAACUGCCACUGACAUUGAUGCUCGAAAGUGUGGGUAUCAAACAGGAUUAGAUACCCGUGUA